rnacentral:rRNA from 1 species
GACGAACGCUGGCGGCGUGCUUAACACAUGCAAGUCGAACGGAAAGGCCCUGCUUUUGUGGGGUGCUCGAGUGGCGAACGGGUGAGUAACACGGGAGUAACCUGCCCUUGACUUUGGGAUAACUUCAGGAAACUGGGGCUAAUACCGGAUAGGAGCUCCUGCUGCAUGGUGGGGGUUGGAAAGGUUCGUCGGUUGGGGAUGGGCUCGCGGCGUUUCAGGUUGUUGGUGGGGUAGUGGGUUACCAAGGCUUUGACGGGUAGCCGGCCUGAGAGCGUGACCGGCCACAUUGUGACUGUGUUGCUGCCCAGACUCCUCCGGGAGGCAGCAGUGGGGAAGAUUGCAUAAUGGGCGGAACCCUUAUGACGCAACGCCGCGUGCGGGAUGACGGCCUUCGGGUUGUAGAUCGCUUUCGCCUGUGACAAAGCGUGAGUGACGGUAAUGUGUAAAGAAGCACCGGCUAACUACGUG